rnacentral:rRNA from 1 species
UUAUCAAAAACAUGUCUUUAUGAAUUUUAUGUAAAGUCUAGCCUGCCCAGUGAUAUUAAAGUUCAACGGCCGCGGUAGCAUGACCGUGCUAAGGUAGCAUAAUCAUUUGUCCCUUAAUUGGGGACUGGUAUGAACGGCUGAACAAGAAAUCGACUGUCUCCGCUAUAAAUUUUGAAUUUAACGUUUAAGUGAAAAGGCUUAAAUAAGAUAGGGGGACGAUAAGACCCUAUAAAUCUUGAUAAUUAAAGUAAUAGUUUUUACGUAGUAGUUAUAAGCUUAAAUCUAAUGCUUUGAUUAUUUUGUUGGGGCGACAAGGGUAUAAUAAGUAACUGCCUUGAAGAGAUAGUUAAUUAUUUUUAUUAUGUUAUGUUUAAGAUCCUU